GUGAGGUUCCUCAUUUGUUGGCAGAUCUGGAAUUUCACAUGUCAGUCACACAGGAGCACUAGGAGGAAUUUGAGAAGCAAAUGUGAGACUAUUCUAACCGAAGAAGAAUGCUUUUCUAAAAUACUGGCUCCACAUUAAAAGCACACAUGGGAAAGACUAUUUGAUGUAAAACUCCUCCUUUCAAAAUCAAUACAACUGAAAGUUUCCCUCUGUGAAGGAGGUUGAUGUAGUUGAAGUACCAGCUUGGUAGCAGAAAUUGCAGCACAGAUGACAUAACAACUCCUCACCUUUCACAAUUCACAUCCCAGAAAAAGAUGUGAGUGCAACACAAACCAGUGACCAUCAGUACUGGUCUGGGUAACAUGAAACCCUCUUAAGCUCUCUGCCUUGAGUUGCCACAGGGACAUUAUGAGCCUGAAUGUGUGGGAAGGCAGCAGAAGGAAAUGAAGUAUACGCAGGAUACUCUAUUUUGUUCUUUCUCUACUUUGUGAACUUCUAUAUGGAAAAAAUACUGGUUUAACAGCUUCUAUUGAAGCCCUUCCAGGUGAAAAUGAAUUUCUCUCCUAAAAAGUGCUUCCAUAAAUGACAGACUAAGUUUCUGCAAAAAAGUACCUUCAUCUUAGAAGUGAAAUACAGUA